ACGAACGCUGGCGGCAUGCCUAACACCUGCCAGUCGAACGAGACCUUCGGGUCUAGUGGCGCACGGGUGCGUAACGCGUGGGAACCUGCCCUUAGGUUCGGAAUAACUCCCCGAAAGGGGUGCUAAUACCGGAUAAUGUCUUCGGACCAAAGAUUUAUCGCCUUUGGAUGGGCCCGCGUUGGAUUAGCUAGUUGGUAAGGUAAAAGCCUACCAAGGCGACGAUCCAUAGCUGGUCUGAGAGGAUGAUCAGCCACACUGGGACUGAGACACGGCCCAGACUCCUACGGGAGGCAGCAGUGGGGAAUAUUGGACAAUGGGCGAAAGCCUGAUCCAGCAAUGCCGCGUGAGUGAUGAAGGCCUUAGGGUUGUAAAGCUCUUUUACCCGGGAUGAUAAUGACAGUACCGGGAGAAUAAGCUCCGGCUAACUCCGUG
rnacentral:rRNA from 1 species